rnacentral:lncRNA from 1 species
AAGAUUGCUAUCCAUAAUUACCCUAAACGCUCAAUCUCUGCUUAAGUAAGACAUGCAUUCUAUUUUGUAGUCAAUUCAUUUUACUCAGUAUUUCAGAGAAGAUUUCCUUCACUAUCUUGCUUAGGAUUUAAUUUGGGGUAAAUAAAUUUUUUUUAUGAAAUGUCAAAAAAUGUCCUUGAAAAAAUAUUAAGGGAAAACACUACUUAAAAUGCUAACAUAAACCAUUUAUCGUUAAAAUAGACAUUCUCAAUAAAUGAUUAAUGGGAAGAAAUGUGGCUAGAAAAUGAAUAUUACUAAUGACUGAAAUCUUAUGAGAAACUUGUAUUUAAAUGGGUCAUGCUUACAAAAUAAACAAAAAACAAACCUAGUCAUGUAGCCUCUUUCAAAGGUAGAAAAGGACAGUGAAUGAUGAUAUCCAUGCGGUUUCAUAUUUUAAAUACAGCAUUAUCCCAUUAAGUCAUAGAAGUAUAUUUUGGUUUGUGUGACUACAGCCAAAAAGACUAUCAAAUUAUUGCAUAAGCUUUCCAUUCACUGUAGUUUUGGUUAUACCUUUGUUCAUAUUUCAGGAGGGCAAUUCAGAUACACACAGACACAAAUAGAUGUAGCAGAUAUUACAUACACACACAUAUAAACAUCCUUUUAAAUUCUCAUAUUCUUUAAGCUAGUAAUUUCACUGUCAGAAUCUACCUCUGAGAAGUAAUAUAGGGUUUUAAUGAAAAUUGCAGAGGAAAGAACUCCAAAUUCUAUCCCUCCAUAACAGCAACAACAACAACAAAAACGGACAAAAACUCAGAAUCAACUUUUUUGGAGGAAAAUUAGAUCCGGCACUCUCUGUGGCUGAGGCUGAAGCCACUGAGGUCUUGAUUAGCC